rnacentral:rRNA from 1 species
AUGGCGAUCGCACGGGUUAACACCGACAGGCCCUUCAGCGCCACGGCGUUCUUUGACAAUAUGAAGUUCGUAUAGGGAUUAGCUCGAACGCCAAAGUUUCACGAGGCGGGUGAGAACUUGUUCAUCUUUCAACUUUUCUGCCUCGGCGACUGGAAGAGGGUCGUGCAUGGAGGCCCUUGGCUGUUUAGAGGUCUCAGUUUGAUAAUUGAGGAUUGUGAUGGCAAGACGGAUCCGGAGGCUGUGGCGCUAGAUGGACCGUAUGUUUGGGCUCAAAUACACAGGAUUCCUGAUCUCUAUCGGCAGGAGCCAGUGGUUGAUCAAUGGGCGCAUAGGAUCGGAAAGGUUCGGGAGGUUCAGCUGCAGCCUACCCUUUACUAUGAAGGUGGUUCGGGCCAGGGUUUUGACGGCCAAGCCCCUGACCAGGUUCACCCCGCUGACUGUGGUAGGGGAAGGUACACGGAUGUUGGUUGUUAA